UCUCUCCCUCUCCCUCUCCCUGCCUACCCCCUCAACUUGGUGAUAUGCACUUCAGAAGCUGGUUAGGGGGAGCUUGGGAGCUUGGGGCCUUUCCUCGGGACAAAUGAGCACCACCUGCUGGCUGAUGUCGGUAUGACCAGGCCCUCCCUGAAGAGUACAGAGAGACUGCCAGGAGGGGGCGCUGCACCCACAUCUCCGGCACCAGUAUAACGCUUCCAACGUCAUCAACUGCUAGACACCUAAAGCGAGAGAGGAUCUUCAGAACCCCGCCCUUCACCGAUUGCUUCUUGCCUGUGAGGGACCUGUGGUCUGGAGAGGCGUCCUGUUGGAAACCGGGCUAAAACCCUGCCUCUUGACUUCCAGGUUGGCGUUUCCGCUUUCCAGUUCUCCUUAGCACAACCCUGCCUCCAUCUCACUGGCUGUGACGUCAAGUAUCUUAGCAGCGUUGAGAAAAACAAGUAAACCCGCUUAUAUGUGUAACAAUCAGCACAGAGCAGAGCAGAGUCUUGGUGCAGUUUGUCUGCACCCGUUUGCAUUUGACACUACGGUGUCAAGGAACUGGCUGUUCUGAAGACGGCUCUUCGCAUGCGGUUGAGAAUCCCUUAUCAGGAAUGCUUAGGAGUUUGAAUUUAGACUUGGAAAUACUUACAUAUGCAUAAGGAAGCAUCCUGGGGAUGCAGCCCAACUCUAGACUCAAAUUCAUCGUGGUUAACGUAGACCUUGCAUAUACAUACGCAUAACACACAGGCAAUUGUGUUAGCCUCGCACCACAGAAACAGCAGAUAGAGGGAUUCAUUUUAGCUCACAAUUUGAGAUUUCAACCCAUGGCUACUUGAGGUAAGACCCCGUGUCAUGGCAAAGAGCUUGCCGAAUGAAAGCCGGGAUGCAGAACAACGGAAGCAGAGGAGGUGAUAAGAUACAUCUUCGUAGGAUGUAUCUAGGAUGUAUCUAGGAUGUAACCAGAUCCCACCUCCUGCUUGCCCCACCUCCCCUGAACACCGCCGCCAUCCAGGGCUGAAUUGGUUGAGCUCCUCAUGACCCAAACACCACUAAACAACUGGAUCCACAAGUUGUGAACAAAGCCUUCAACACGUGAGCCUGCUGAGACACACUUCCACACCCCAGCAGCGGUUUCGUGCAGCCUCUCUGUGCUCCAGCACCGUGGUUUGACUGCACCCUCACUGUGGUCCAGCGGGAAUUUUCCACUUGUGGCAUCACACGGCACUCAAGAUGUUUCAGAACGGAAAGGAUUUCUCUUCUCAGAGCCUUGGGUUUGGGAUGCUGACCCUCUGCUUCGUGCAAACACUUCUAUAGCUGACUGGCAUUUUCAGGGGUGGACGGGCAGCCGAACAGUGUCAGCCCUUGGCAGUUCUUAAAAGCGAUCUUAACCCCUUCUUUCCCCGUUAUUUAAUUUGCCCCACUUGUCACACAGGCCGUCAGUUAGGACUGACACCAUCCUGUGACAACUACGGGUUUAACUCAGUCUUUUAAAAUAGUGCGUGUGUGUGCGCGCGAGUGCAUGCGUGCGCGCAUUUGCUUCAAUGUACACUUGUGAUCAAGGCACACAAGUGGAGUUCAGAGGACAGUCUAUGGGAAUAAGUUCUCUUCUUCCAACACCUGCGUCCUGGGGAACAAACUCAAUUGGUCAGUCAUGGUCACAAAUGUCUUUGCCUGCCCCCACUCCCCCCGUCUGCUGAACCACGUCACUCUUAAGACAAAUUCUAACAAACUUCUUCCCAUCAAGGGAUUUUUUAUAUGUGCAUGUAAUGUUUUGAUCCGAUUUAUCUCCAAUUUCCUCUCCUUCAAUUCCUCCCCAUUCCCCAUCACCCCCGCCCAACUUCAUGUGUGUUAUUUUUAAAAAACCACUGAGGCCACCUGGUGCUACCUGCACGUGUGUAGGCACAGGGCCUUCUACUGAAGCAUGGGUAACCUCUCGGGGGCCACAUCCCCAAAGAAAACUCUCUCCCAGAAGGCAUCAACUGCCAAUGGCUCCUCAGCUAGAGGGAACUCACUAUUUUGUACAAUUGAUAUAUCCUAGUAAAAAUAGUAAUCAAUAAACAGAUAAACAUUUGCUUUUUAACAGAGACAUUUUAGCAUGAUUAUAGGCCACAGAAAUAAUGUGUGUGAGGAAAGAGAGGGAAGCCUGCUGAGCAGCGUGUGUGAAGGUGUGCAUAUGAGAUACAGUCUUAGAGGUAGGGAGGGCAGUCUGUCUGCAGUAAUGAGGGAAUGGAAGGUUGCCCAAUGCAGAUGCUGACAGGGUGGAGAUGGGAUCGCCUGGGGGAAGUUCUGAGUUUGCGCUUGAGUGUUCCUGGAAGAUGUGGGCGAAGAUUCACGUGACGGCACGGGAGAAGCUGUGCGCAGCAUAAUCGGAGAAUGUGGAUGCUAGAGAGGGGCUAAUGGUUAUUACAAACAUAAUCAAAUUCAGGAGGUUUUAGUAAUAAAAAGAAACCCAUUACUACUUAGCCCACAGUGUCCAAGACCUUGUGGAAACUGUUCUGAUGUUGAGAGAACGGUUCACCUAGUACCUAGGAGGGAAUUGCCUUAGAAUCUUGAGCCUUGACUUAAGGUCUAGCACAGUUCCGUGAUGUGGGCAAGUAUACAAAGCCCUGGCUGGGUCACGGGCUGUCUCUCUUAUCUAGCCAAGACUUGGGUCAUCAGUAUCAGCCCUACCUGGGGGCCUGUUACAAACGCAAGCACAGCUGAGCACCUGUAAUCCCAGCACUCUGGAGGCUGAGUCAAGACGUCUAAAGUUUCACACAGGACACAGUGAGACAAACAAAUAAAACAAAAACAAAACAAAUAAAAAUAACUUCCAAGUCAAACUAAACCAACUGUGUUAGGCAGUGUUAUUAGGACGCAUGUAUAUUAUAAAAGGUAUUUAUUGGAUUGGCUGACACAGGGACUGGGGAAUCCAGCAAUGACUGACUGCCUCCCACAGAGGCUGAGAACUCAUAGCUGCUCAGCCCACAAAGCUGAUGCCUCUGCAGCCUCCGUCUGGCCCUGGUACUCAGUCCUCACUGGGAAACCGGAGAAGCAGGGGUUUGAGGUCAGCAGAGGUUUGGGGCUGCAGUGAUGGACACACUUGCUUGUAAGUGAAGGUGGCUGGGUGGUGCACUUUACCUCAGACCUGUCUAUAUGUGCGUCAUCUGUUGGAGGGUGCUGCCCACUUUGAGGAUGGGCCUUCCCUCAAUUAAUCCUCUCAGGAGAUGCCCUCACAGACACGCCCAGAGACGUAUCUCCUAGGUAAUUCCAAAUCCUGUCAAGAUGACAACCGAGAUCAACCAUCGUAGCAAAUAAGCAAUGCCAGAAGUUAGUGCCUCCACCUCAGACCUGGUGGGGCCAACAUCUGCAUUUACCACGAUGUCCUGGUGGAAUAUAUGAUGUGAGUGUUGUGACCCUAAAUACUAUUGCUCUUUUACUCAUAUCAUAUGUUUUCACUUUGUUUAUUAAAUUACAUCAAAUGAAAUGUUGUGGGCUGGUAAUAUGGCCUGUGCACGCGCGCGCGCGCGCGCACACACACACACACACACACACACACACACACACACACACACUCACAUUCAUCUUGUACAAUCCCUCACUGCUCUCAAGAAUGUAGAGAGUGUAGGGAAGCCAGGAAAGCCACAGCCACAUCAGGAGAACAAGCAGGGAAUUAUUUCUAGGAGAGCUUUCCUGGUCAACGAAUGAGAGCAGGGUUCCCCUCCCCCUCCCUUCUCUCUAGCACUACUCCUAGCCAGCUUGGUUCUGGCGGGGUGUUUCCUUGUUGUAGGGAGCCUCUGUGAUUUGUAGGGUGCUUAGCGACAGAGCUGGUCUCUACCCACUAGAGGCCAGUAUCAUCCUUCGGGUUUCAACGGUGACAUCCAGCGAUGUUCCGACAUUGGCAAGUGCAGAGUCGGGCAUGGCAGGGAGGGAAGCUUGGCCUCCACCUGAGAGUCAGGGGCUUAAAGCGAGGGUUGUGGCUUCCCUGAGAGGGCAGGGGUAGCUGCAUUUCAGGGGUGCCUUCCCACUUGCGGGGUGGGGGGGCUUGAAUUUUGUGUCUAUUUUAUCUUUUCAUCUUUACAGCAAACCCAGGGAACAGCAUGAUUCCUCCUCAUUUAUGAACAGAGAAACCAAGCUUUAGAGAACUGUCCGGUAAAUUGUUUAACAGGGAUGUUCAGUCCCGAGUCCAUCUCCACCACUGUGCCAUGGAGCAGAGGACAGAGGACAGAUACAUACAGCUCUUCGUGUGUGGGUGUGCGCAUGUGUGUGGAUGUGCAUGUGAGUGUGCACGAGUGUGUGUGUGUGUGUGUGUGUGUGUGUGCAUGUGCAUUUGUGUGGAGGCUAGAGGUCAAUGUCUAGUGCCUUCCUCAAUCUCUGUCCUUCAGCUAAGGUCUGUGACUGGUCUGGAGUCCCUGAUUCAGCUCAAAUGGCUGGCUAGAGCGCUCCAGGGAUUGUGCUGGCAUUUACAUUGAGGAUCGAGGUCAGCCCUUCAUACUUGUGUGGCAAGCAUUUUCCCAGCUGAGUCACCUCCCUGGUUCUGCCUUGUGUUUUCUCUAUCUGUGUCUCCAUCUAUGGGCCUGGAAGCCUUCCCCAUCUCUCUGUACGAUCCAGAGAUGACUGGAGAAAUAGCCAAUAAUUGGCCAGUGGCCAGAACUGAUUUUGCAAACACUUGAGUUAGUUGGCUGGAGAAACAAAUAUCAAAGAGGGACAUCUUCUCCGAGGCUCCCACAGGCAUUGCCUUGUCCCCAAGAGUCCUGCCAUUUGUUUCCCUUAGUUCUUCCCAUGUCCUCAGGUGUAAGACAGCUCCCUGUGGCUGCACAUGCCUGGAUAUCAAAGGCUCUGCUAUGAGGUGUCUGUGGGCGACUCACACCAUCAAAGGCAGCUGGGUGGGGAGCCAAGAGAAUGCAAACAGGACCUGAAUGGAGUUCACAUCCAUCAGUCUCUUAGCAUCUCCCCGGCUGGAAGCGUCUGCCCUGGUUGCCAGAGCAGCCGAGCUCAGCCUCCCUGUUUGAACAUUGAAUACUGACUUUGACUGAGCACCUGGGCGUGUGUUCUUCUAAAAAUGCCACAUCCAGGCAAGGGUUUCCCAACACCUGCACAAGUUCUGUUUCAGAUCCCAGGGGUCUGUGAUGUACAGCCAGGAUCUAGAACUUUUCUGCUGGUCUGAAAGGGCUUGGGGCUGGGUAUAUGAGCCCCCCUGCCAGUUCUAUCACUUAGAGAUUCCCAGUUAUUUAUUUAGCGUCUCUGGGCCUCAGUGUUGCACAUCUGUAAAAUGGGGAUUGUGGUAUCUGCCUCCCAACAGUGAAGCUGUGACUGGUAAAGUGACAGUCCCCAGAGGCUCUAAUGUGACUCUUGACAUCCUGCCCACCCUCCAUACACGGGCUCUGAGGCUGCAGCCUUGCCUGACCUGCUGAUGGACUCUUGGCUUGCGCCUACCUCUGGUGACAUGAAUAAUGCUACUGUGAACAUGGAUGGACAGAACAUGUUGAACCCCAAGUCUUUGGGGGUACAAAUUAGAUGUGGAAUCGCUGGAUCGAAUGGCGACUCCAGCUUUACCAUUUUGAGGACCCGCCACACAUUGCCACACCAGCCGCUCCACUUCACAUGCCCACCAGUCGUGGGUGAGGCUUCUUGACUCUUCAUAUCCACGCUUUGAAUUUUCUGCCUUUUUGAUAACUGCCGUCCAAGUGGGUCUGAAGUGGCCAUACAAUACACAGACAGACAUGAACAGGACCCUCUUUGCCAGCCUCGGGGUUCUGUAUUCACCAGCAAUUCUGCUCCAACGUUGCCGCCGCCUCCUCCCACCUGCUCGGGUCACCUUCUCAUCCUUAAGGUAUUAACUUAGGCGCAUGGCCUCCGCACAGCGGCCUCUGGAGCCCCAAAGAAGUUAGCCCCCCUUUAGAUCUCUUAUAUACUAUGAGCUUCAAUUCCUCUGCUGCACUUGACUUAA